AAACUAAACAAUACCUCACAUUUGAAUAGAAAAUAAGCUCAAAUAAUUCUGAGAAAGUAGAAUCAAUAUGCAUCGGACAAAGGUAUCUUUUGAACUUGAACAUUUCCUAGUAACAACUUAUCGGAUUUACUUUGUGGGUAAUGAACUAUAGUCUUGAAUUAACCACAUUUUAUAGUAAACCUAGACAAUAAGUGAAACACAUAUCUCAUCAGCUCAUUUCUAGUUUAUACGGUUGUGAUCAUUUUGGUCCUGAACAUAUCCUGACUUCGUGAGAGCUCUAGAAAAUUUAGCCAUAUCAAUUCUCAUAGGUGCGACCCGACACCACUCUCAUAUAGGUAACAUUAGUUAAAGAUAGUCCAUUCUAUCUCUAUUUCACAAAAGAUACUAACAUUAUUAAGAAUAUAUUAUCCAACCCUUAAUCA
rnacentral:lncRNA from 1 species